CUCAGCGGGCACCUGUCAUCAAAGCCUCUUACAUGACAAGGAGAGCAUGUACCACUUGCUCAACUUCAUUUGUGUUCACAACUACAAGGGGAUGAAGCAGCUGCAAGGAAAAACAUCAAUUACAGAAGCAGCUGCAAGGACUUGCGAAGGUUCUAGAGGAGGAAAGGAAUAAUAUUUUCAGUCUCCAGGCAAAAAAUGACUGAAGUCGGUCCAUCUUUUCAAGCACUACAUUACAUUUUAUAGCCUAUAGAGUAAAUGUGAUCUGAAAUUAUUUUGUCCUUACUCUUCUAUUUGUAUGCUUAUUCUGAAAUUACUUUGCACUAUUGGCCAAAUGAUCUACCCAUCACAUUUUUGGAAA